UGGGGAAUUUUGGACAAUGGGCGAAAGCCUGAUCCAGCCAUGCCGCGUGUGUGAAGAAGGUCUUCGGAUUGUAAAGCACUUUAAGUUGGGAGGAAGGGCAGUUACCUAAUACGUGAUUGUUUUGACGUUACCGACAGAAUAAGCACCGGCUAACUCUGUGCCAGCAGCCGCGGUAAUACAGAGGGUGCAAGCGUUAAUCGGAAUUACUGGGCGUAAAGCGCGCGUAGGUGGUUUGUUAAGUUGGAUGUGAAAUCCCCGGGCGUCAACCUGGGAACUGCAUUCAAAACUGACUGACUAGAGUAUGGUAGAGGGUGGUGGAAUUUCCUGUGUAGCGGUGAAAUGCGUAGAUAUAGGAAGGAACACCAGUGGCGAAGGCGACCACCUGGACUGAUACUGACACUGAGGUGCGAAAGCGUGGGGAGCAAACAGGAUUAGAUACCCGUGUAGUCCCUGAGCGGGCUGGCAAGGCGCAU
rnacentral:rRNA from 1 species